rnacentral:rRNA from 1 species
CCUACGGGAGGCAGCAGUGAGGAAUAUUGGUCAAUGGCCGGGAGGCUGAACCAGCCACGUCGCGUGAGGGAUGACUGCCCUAUGGGUUGUAAACUUCUUUUAUCAGGGAGUAAGACGGGGCUCGGGACCCGCUGUGCGAGUACUUGAUGAAAAAGGAUCGGCUAACUCCGUGCCAGCAGCCGCGGUAAUACGGAGGAUCCGAGCGUUAUCCGGAUUUAUUGGGUUUAAAGGGAGCGUAGAUGGGUUGUUAAGUCAGUUGUGAAAGUUUGCGGCUCAACCGUAAAAUUGCAAUUGAUACUGGCAGUCUUGAGUACAGUUGAGGUAGGCGGAAUUCGUGGUGUAGCGGUGAAAUGCUUAGAUAUCACGAAGAACCCCGAUUGCGAAGGCAGCUUACUAAACUGUGACUGACAUUGAUGCUCGAAAGUGUGGGUAUCAAACAGGAUUAGAUACCCGAGUAGUC